rnacentral:rRNA from 1 species
AGCAUCGUAUGCGGGCAGAAGCUGUGCUGGAAGGCAAGGUGGACUGCAAAGGAGAGAGAAUGUUGGCAUGAGUAGCGUAAGGCAGGUGAGAAUCCUGUCCGCCGAAAAUCUAAGGUUUCCUGAGGAAGGUUCGUCCACUCAGGGUUUUCGGGACCUAAGCCGAGAGCAAGGCGCUGUAGGCGAUGGACAACAGGUUGAUAUUCCUGUACCACCGAAAGUCGUUUGAGCGAAGUGGGGACACAGAAGGAUAGGUUGAGCACGCUGUUGGUAAUGCGUGUCCAAGCGUCGAGGGAGAACUGGUAGGCAAAUCCGCGAGUUCAAUUCUGAGGCGUGAUGGGGUGGCCGCAAGGCUGGAAGCAACUGAUUUCACACUGUCAAGAAAAGCCGCUAGCGAGACCGUAGGUGUCCGUACCGCAAACCGACACAGGUAGAUGAGGAGAGAAUCCUAAGGUGAGCGAGAGAACUAUUGUUAAGGAAUUCGGCAAAAUAACCCCGUAACUUCGGGAGAAGGGGUGCUCCGGAAACGGAGCCGCAGUGAAAAGUCCCAGGCGACUGUUUACCAAAAACACAGGUCUCUGCGAAAGCGAAAGCUGAAGUAUAGGGGCUGACGCCUGCCCGGUGCUGGAAGGUUAAGGGGAUGUGUUAGGGCAACCGAAGCACUGAACUUAAGCCCCAGUAAACGGCGGCCGUAACGAUAACGGUCCUAAGGUAGCGAAAUUCCUUGUCGGGUAAGUUCCGACCCGCACGAAAGGCGUAACGAUCUGGGAACUGUCUCAACAAUAGACUCGGUGAAAUUGUAGUACCGGUAAAGAUGCCGGUUACCCGCAGCAGGACGGAAAGACCCCAUGGAGCUUUACUGUAGCUUGAUAUUGAGAUUCGGCGUUGCAUGUACAGGAUAGGUGGGAGACUGCGAGGUAAGUACGCCAGUAUUUACGGAGUCACCGUUGGGAUACCACCCUUGUAACGUUGAGUUUCUAACAUUGCGCCGUGAUCCGGCGCAUGGACAGUGUCAGGUGGGCAGUUUGACUGGGGCGGUCGCCUCCUAAAGAGUAACGGAGGCGCCCAAAGGUUCCCUCAGUGCGGUCGGAAAUCGCGCGAAGAGUGUAAAGGCAGAAGGGAGCUUGACUGCGAGACAGACAAGUCGAGCAGGGACGAAAGUCGGGCUUAGUGAUCCGGUGGUUCCGCGUGGAAGGGCCAUCGCUCAACGGAUAAAAGCUACCCUGGGGAUAACAGGCUGAUACCGCCCAAGAGUUCACAUCGACGGCGGUGUUUGGCACCUCGAUGUCGGCUCGUCUCAUCCUGGGGCUGAAGUAGGUCCCAAGGGUUGGGCUGUUCGCCCAUUAAAGAGGUACGCGAGCUGGGUUCAGAACGUCGUGAGACAGUUCGGUCCCUAUCCGCUGUGGGCGUUGGAGAUUUGAGUGGAGCUGUUCCUAGUACGAGAGGACCGGGAUGGACGUAGCUCUGGUGCACCAGUUGUUCUGCCAAGGGCAUCGCUGGGUAGCUACCUACGGACGGGAUAAGCGCUGAAAGCAUCUAAGUGCGAAGCCCCCCACGAGAAAAGAUCUCCUCCAAUUAUGGUAAGACCCGUGAGAGACUAUCACGUUGAUAGGUCGGAGGUGUAAGUGUGGUGACACAUUUAGCUGACCGAUACUAAUAGGUCGAAAACUUGAC